UACAGAGGUCUCAAGCGUUGUUCGGAUUCAUUGGGCGUAAAGGGUGCGUAGGCGGCGCGGUAAGUCGGGUGUGAAAUCUCGGAGCUUAACUCCGAAACUGCAUUCGAUACUGCCGUGCUUGAGGACUGGAGAGGAGACUGGAAUUUACGGUGUAGCGGUGAAGUGCGUAGAUAUCGUAAGGAAGACCAGUGGCGAAGGCGGCCUGCUGGGCAGUUGCUGACACUGAGGCGCGACAGCGUGGGGAGCAAACAGG
rnacentral:rRNA from 1 species